rnacentral:rRNA from 1 species
UAUUACAGCCAUAUCACCCUGCAGCCCAAGACUGGUUGCCCACUGAAGCUAAGCAGGGUUGAGCCUGGUCAGUACCUGGAUGGGAGACCUCCUGGGAAAACUAGGUUGCUGUUGGAA